GAGUCUUUGAUGCAUAUAUCUUAAAUGGAGCCCCAACAUGUAUUAUGUAGAACAUUAAGUAUAAAUACAUUAUGGUAUUACAGUAUAUAGUAUACAUACAGUAAAUUAUGGGGAAUGUGCGGUGCAUUACAGGGGGAGGAAUGGGAGGGGCAUUUUAGGGGAUGGGAGGUGCAUUUUAGGGGAUGGGAGGGGCAUUUUAGGGGAUGGGAGGUGCAUUUUAGGGGAUGGGAGAUGCAUUUUAGGGGAUGGGAGGUGCAUUUUAGGGGAUGGGAGGGGCAUUUUAGGGGAUGGGGGGUGCAUUUUAGGGGAUGGGGUGCAUUUUAGGGGAUGGGGGGUGCAUUUUAGGGGAUGGGAGGUGCAUUUUAGGGGAUGGGAGGGGCAUUUUAGGGGAUGGGGGUGCAUUUUAGGGGAUGGGAGGUGCAUUAUGGGGAUGGGAGGUGCAUUAUGGGGAUGGGAGAUGCAUUAUGGGGAUGGGAGAUGCAUUAUGGGGAUGAGAGGUGCAUUAUGGGGGAUGGGAGAUGGAUUAUGGGGAUGGGAGAUGCAUUAUGGGGGAUGGGAGGUGCAUUAUGGGGAUGGGAGGUGCAUUAUGGGGGAGGUGCGCUGCAUUAUGGGGGGUGGGAGGUGAGGUGCAUUAUGAGGAUGGGAGGUGCAUUAUGGGGGAGGUGAGCUGCAUUAUGGGGAUGGGAGGUGCAUUAUGGGGGAGGUGAGCUGCAUUAUGGGGAUGGGAGGUGCAUUAUGGGGAUGGGAGGUGAGCUGCAUUAUGGGGGAGGUUCAUUUUGGGAGCUGGGAGGUGGAUUAUGGGGAUGGGAGGUGCAUUAAGGGGAUGGGAGCUGCAUUAUGGGGGAGGUGAGCUGCAUUAUGGGGUAGGUGAGCUGCAUUAUGGGGGAGGUGCGUUGCAUUAUGGGGAGGUUCAUUUUGGGAGCUGGGAGGUACAUUAUGGGGAGGUGAGCUGCAUUAUGGGGGAGGUGUAUUAUGGGGAUGAGAGAUGCAUUAUGCAUCAAGAUAUUUUAUCCCCAACAAUAUCUUGAAAUAAGAUAAAUCACUUGUAUUAUUCAUUUUUGGGGGGUUAAAAUAAGACAAAUGUUCUGCCAAUGAGGUUAGCCAAUUUAUCUUGGUAAGAAAACAAAACACAUUUGAAGUGAUUUAUCCCUCAAUAUAAUGAAAAAAACCUUGAUGCAAGAUAUUUAGGCUUGCUUAGAAAUCACAUUCUGCAGUGUAACUUCAAUGUUUUUGAGGUUUUUACAUGGCAUUGCAGAUUUGAGCUUUUGUGGACAAAACAUUAAGAAAACAUUAAGAACACCUGCUCUUUUCCAUGACCAGGUGAAUCCAGGUGAAAGCUAUGAUCCAUUAUUGAUGUCACUUGUUAAAUCCACUUCAAUCAGUGUAAAUGAAGGGGAGGAGACAGGUUAAAGGAGGAUUUUUAAGCCUCGAGUCAACUGAGACAUUUAGAGGGUGAAUGGGCAAGACAAAAUAUUUAAGUGCCUUUGAACAGAGUUUGGUAGUAGGUGUCAGGCGCA